CUGUCAGCCUCCAGCAUGCUUGGGUCUGAGGUGACCAUGUCUAUAUCUACUGACAAAAACAUUACAAAACAGUUUGAGGUCUUGCCUUGCUCCAUCCAGAGCAAGAUUAUAGAAAUUUCAGACAAUU